GACGAACGCUGGCGGCGUGCUUAACACAUGCAAGUCGAGCGGUAAGGCCCUUUCGGGGGUACACGAGCGGCGAACGGGUGAGUAACACGUGGGUGACCUGCCCUUAGCUCUGGGAUAAGCCUGGGAAACUGGGUCUAAUACCGGACAUGACUCCAUGACGCAUGUUGUGGGGUGGAAAGCCUUGUGCGGCUAGGGAUGGGCCCGCGGCCUAUCAGCUUGUUGGUGGGGUGAUGGCCUACCAAGGCGACGACGGGUAGCCGGCCUGAGAGGGCGACCGGCCACACUGGGACUGAGACACGGCCCAGACUCCUACGGGAGGCAGCAGUGGGGAAUCUUGCGCAAUGGGCGAAAGCCUGACGCAGCGACGCCGCGUGGGGAUGACGGCCUCGG
rnacentral:rRNA from 1 species